UACUUCCAGAACAGAGCAAGCCCUGCCUCUCUUGCCUACUUGCGGCUCUCAAGCCGCUCCAGUGUUAAAACAAUAA
rnacentral:sRNA from 1 species